GAAAAAAACAAAAAUAUUGCUUAAAGAUGUGCGUCGACAGAAAGAAUAUUCUAGAUGUCGCCUAUGGGAUUACCACAUGAGUAGUUUUACCGACUGACUCCAGUCUGUCUCCUUACUAAGAAUGCUCAUCAACACCCAAUACAAACGAUGAA